CCCGUAUAGUAAGGAGAGAACAUCUACCACCUCAACGAAAGUAGUACUACUUAUUUACACAUCAAUCUCAACAACCGAAAACAAGCCACAUUUUGGCGAGAAAAACGAACCCUGCGAAAGUUAAGAAUCACACCACUAGAAAAAAUAUCGACAGUCAAAAGCAAGCCAGAUAUAUUUUGAAAGGCAAUGAAAUGCUUGCAUGUUCAUAAAAAGCUUCAAAACAAGAUCAAAUUCAAAUUAUCAUUGAAAGAAAUAAGACUCAUUCCGUAAAUUUAACUGGAACUUGGUGGAGAUCGUCGAACACUUUCCUAGUACAGUAGAUUAGGAUUAGAUCUCUCACAGUUGAAAGCACAAACCAAUAUCCCUUUCUUCCAUGAAGGUAGCCAGGGG
rnacentral:lncRNA from 1 species